GUGUGUGUGUGUGUGUGUGUUAAUCAGAUAAUCUUGCUUCUGGCAAUUUUUUUUUCCUUCAAAGUUCACAAAUUCAUUCAACCAUUUUGAAAAUUCCACUGUAUUAAUCACAGGAAAUAAAAAUGUUCAAAUUAGAAGGCAAAAUUCCUCAUGUAUUCUCUGAAAAAUUGUCCCAUAAGCAGUAUCUUAUGGAUCAGUUCCACUAAACCCCUUGCUGAAGGUUGCUCUAAGAGGCAGUCUUGUUCGCUUUUAAUCAUUUUGUCUGUUCCAACAAUGGAUAGUACACAAAUUUAUGGUGAACAGUUUAAAGGAAAACUCAAACACAGAAUCAUCAAUCAGCUGUUGAUGGGUGUCCAAGUUUUAAAGAAUAUAAUAAGCAUCCAUGGGGUUUUAAUGAAAUAGCUGUUUGUGGAAUCCAUGCCUUCCAUAUUUUAUCUCACUCUGGUUUUCUUUUAGUUCACACCACAUGACAUGUUUUAUUGAACCUGAAAAUGCAGCUUCAGAAGUGAAAAUAGCAAGAGAUCAAACCACAGAAGAAGAGCCUGUGCCACAGCUUUCAGGAUCUUUCCUAGCACUUUUAACUACAGCACUCUUUCUUUUUACCAUUUUCUACAAUAUUCUAUACAUCACAGUCAUAGAACCAUCCACAGAUGGAGCAGAACCAACUCCUACAACUGAUCUGGAAACUAAAUCUCCUGAACUAGCACUUCUGCAACUGUUGCCAUUGGCACCUGAAAUUUACUUGUAAUGCUCUAUAUGACGUUAAAUAUUAGUGAAAACAAAUGCUUAAAAGCAAGUUUCGGUUUAAAAUUUUUCUCCCUGG
rnacentral:misc_RNA from 1 species